AUGGACAAGUCAUCUGUGAAGCAGCAGGUAGAAGGCUACCUGGCAGUGCCUCCAGGGAUUCGCUGUACAAUACAUGUCACCACAGCUAUGUCGAUGAAGACUCAAAGUGAUGCUUUCAUUAUAUCACUUGCCAAGUUUACAUCACUUCACUCUGCUGCCAAGGUUGAAACCCCACUCUGUAGUUUCUCUUCAGAUCUUGCAGUAGCAAAGCAAGGGAAUGUGAUGCAAGACUGGAGAGUGGCAAAGUGGCAGAUGACAUCUAUGUGGAGGGUGAUGAUGAUCCAUGUGGCAAUGAGCAAUAUGAUAACUAGGGCGAUGACGGUGAUAAACUCGACGUUCUCUUCAAGUAAUGCAACAAAGAGAAGUUCUAAAGUUUGUGGAAAAUUUAGCUUAUGUAAAAUCUUUGUACAAGUUACUACUUUGUUUUGUAUUUGA
rnacentral:rRNA from 1 species